rnacentral:rRNA from 1 species
UUGGUUGUGGAAAGUUUUUUCGGUUGGGGAUGGGCUCGCGGCCUAUCAGUUUGUUGGUGAGGUAAUGGCUCACCAAGACGACGACGGGUAGCCGGCCUGAGAGGGCGACCGGCCACACUGGGACUGAGACACGGCCCAGACUCCUACGGGAGGCAGCAGUGGGGAAUAUUGCACAAUGGGGGAAACCCUGAUGCAGCGACGCAGCGUGCGGGAUGACGGCCUUCGGGUUGUAAACCGCUUUCAGCAGGGAAGAAGCCCCUUGGGGUGACGGUACCUGCAGAAGAAGUACCGGCUAACUACGUGCCAGCAGCCGCGGUAAUACGUAGGGUACAAGCGUUGUCCGGAAUUAUUGGGCGUAAAGAGCUCGUAGGUGGUUGGUCACGUCUGCUGUGGAAACGCAACGCUUAACGUUGCGCGUGCAGUGGGUACGGGCUGACUAGAGUGCAGUAGGGGAGUCUGGAAUUCCUGGUGUAGCGGUGAAAUGCGCAGAUAUCAGGAGGAACACCGGUGGCGAAGGCGGGACUCUGGGCUGUAACUGACACUGAGGAGCGAAAGCAUGGGGAGCGAACAGGAUUAGAUACCCUGGUAGUCCAUGCCGUAAACGUUGGGCACUAGGUGUGGGGGACAUUCCACGUUCUCCGCGCCGUAGCUAACGCAUUAAGUGCCCCGCCUGGGGAGUACGGUCGCAAGGCUAAAACUCAAAGGAAUUGACGGGGGCCCGCACAAGCGGCGGAGCAUGCGGAUUAAUUCGAUGCGACGCGAAGAACCUUACCAAGGCUUGACAUACACCAGACCGUUCUGGAAACAGUUCCUCCCCUUUGGGGUUGGUGUACAGGUGGUGCAUGGUUGUCGUCAGCUCGUGUCGUGAGAUGUUGGGUUAAGUCCCGCAACGAGCGCAACCCUCGUUCUAUGUUGCCAGCACGUGAUGGUGGGAACUCAUAGGAGACUGCCGGGGUCAACUCGGAGGAAGGUGGGGAUGACGUCAAAUCAUCAUGCCCUUUAUGUCUUGGGCUUCACGCAUGCUACAAUGGCUGGUACAGAGGGAUGCGAGACCGCGAGGUUUUAGCGAAUCCCUUAAAGCCAGUCUCAGUUCGGAUCGUAGUCUGCAAUUCGACUACGUGAAGUCGGAGUCGCUAGUAAUCGCAGAUCAG